GACGAACCGUGCGAACGUUGUUCGGAUUCACUGGGCUUAAAGGGCGCGUAGGCGGCUCGCCAGUCUGUGGUGAAAGCCCCCGGCUCAACCGGGGAAGUGCCGUGGAUACUGUGAGUCUGAGGAGGGUAGGGGCGUCUGGAACGCUGGGUGGAGCGGUGAAAUGCGUUGAUAUCCAGCGGAACUCCGGUGGCGAAGGCGAGGCGCUGGACCCUUCUGACGCUGAUGCGCGAAAGCCAGGGGAGCAAACGGG
rnacentral:rRNA from 1 species